UACGGGGGGGGCAAGCGUUGUUCGGAAUUACUGGGCGUAAAGGGCUCGUAGGCGGCCAACUAAGUCAAACGUGAAAUCCCUCGGCUUAACCGGGGAACUGCGUCUGAUACUGGAUGGCUUGAGUUUGGGAGAGGGAUGCGGAAUUCCAGGUGUAGCGGUGAAAUGCGUAGAUAUCUGGAGGAACACCGGUGGCGAAGGCGAGUCCCUGGACAACUCCUGACACUGAGGCACGAAAGCUAGGGGAGCAAACAGG
rnacentral:rRNA from 1 species